CAAGCCAGAUGUCUCACUAUGAGACAACUGCUCAGCCAGCCCAGAAGUAAAACAAUGUGUCUGAAAUGUGAUCUCCAAGAGCGACUGCUCAGCCCAUCCCUACUCGCUGGCACAGCUGACAGCUCCUUGAGAAUGGAUGACCCUAAAGGAGACUUCAUCACACUCUACCAGAUGGCUUCCCAGUCAUCGGCCUCUCAUUACAAGCUCCAAGUGAUCAAGGCUUUAAAAUCUAGCGGGCUCUGCGAGUCAUUGACAUAUGGACUCCCGUUCAUCCUCAGACCUACAAGCUGUUGGCAGCUGGACUGGGAUGAGCUGGAGACAAAUCAGCAACAUUUCCAUGCUUUGUGUCACAGCCUGCUGAAAAGGGAAUGGCUGCUGUUAGCCAAGGGGGAACCACUGGGCCCAGGACACAGCCAGAGAAUUCCUGCCAGCACCUUCUAUGUGAUCAUGCCGUCACGCUCCCUCACACUGCUGGUAAAGGCGGUGGCCACGCGGGAACUGAUGCUGCCCAGCACCUUCCCCCUGCUACCUGAGGACCCACAUGAUGACAGCCUUAAGAAUGUGGAGAGCAUGCUGGACAGCCUGGAGCUGGAGCCCACCUACAACCCCUUGCAUGUUCAAAGCCACCUGUACUCACACCUGAGCAGCAUCUAUGCCAAGCCUCAGGGGCGGCUCCACCCACACUGGGAGAGCCGAGCUCCGAGAAAGACUGGGCAGUUGCAGACCAACCGAGCUCGAGCUACUGUGGCCCCCCUGCCUAUGACUCCUGUCCCAGGCAGAGCCUCCAAGAUGCCAGCAGCCAGCAAAUCUUCCUCAGAUGCCUUCUUCCUGCCUUCAGAGUGGGAGAAGGAUCCCUCAAGGCCCUAAGUCACCAGCACCAGAGCCCAGCUGCCCAGCUUAACCAUAUCCAUGCUCAGGUUCACAUAAUGGCUAUCUGUGGUCAGACUUGCUCUCUAUCCGCCUGAGCCUCUGUGAGUGAGGGCUGACUGGGAAACAACAGCCUUCCUGUCCUCUGUUUCAGUGCUGUCCCACUCCUCAAGUCGGGAAGCGACACACCCGAGCCUGUCCUUUCUCCAGCAAGGACUUUCAUUUUCUUUAGAAUCAUUUGCUACUGUUUACACAGAAGAUUAAACACCCAGUAAGCUUCUACCAUUGUUAGGAGCAUUCAUAACUCAGAAUUUCUUCUUGUAGCUCUGUGUAAGCAGGUGGAUGAGGUCAGAUCACCUUUGGUAAACUGGACCUCAGGAACAAGGAUGAGGUUUUGAAAGCUCAUAAAAGACAAGUAAGAUUGAAAUCCAAGCCUCAUUUCAGAGCCUGUGCCCUUCCCGCUACACCACCAGGCUUCAGCCUCCAAAGAGACAAGUGCUUGGUACCUACAUGCAAAGUGUAUGUGCUGCAGGGUGGGAGGGCUGCCCAGAACAGGGGAGAGGAUGGUGUAAAAAAAGACCUACUCCUUUCCUGUUACCCUCUCCCCACACGUACCAACCUUCCUGUUGCUCCCUCCAUCCACAGAAUAAUAGCUACCAUUUAUAAAAUGUUUACUCUGGGCUGGGAGCAGUGGCUCACACCUGUAAUCCCAACACUUUGAGAGGCUGAGGUGGGAUGAUCACUUGAGGCCAGGAGUUCAAGACCAGCCUGGGCAACACUGUGAGACUCCCCCCCUCCCCAUCUCUACAUAAAUAAUAAUAACUUUU
rnacentral:sRNA from 1 species